rnacentral:tRNA from 1 species
GGGCGGGUAGCUCAAUCGGGAGAGCGUCGGCCUUACAAGCCGGAGGUAACAGGUUCGAUACCUGUUACGCCUA